AUUGAACGCUGGCGGCAGGCCUAACACAUGCAAGUCGAGCGAGCGGCGGACGGGUGAGUAAUGUCUGGGAAACUGCCUGAUGGAGGGGGAUAACUACUGGAAACGGUAGCUAAUACCGCAUACAAUCCGAUUUGCCGAGUUGGGAUUAGCUGGUCGGUGGGGUAACGGCUCACCUGGGCGACGAUCCCUAGCUGGUCUGAGAGGAUGACCAGCCACACUGGAACUGAGACACGGUCCAGACUCCUACGGGAGGCAGCAGUGGGGAAUAUUGCACAAUGGGCGCAAGCCUGAUGCAGCCAUGCCGCGUGUGUGAAGAAGGCCUUCGGGUUGUAAAGUACUUUCAGCGGGGAGGCGUUACCCGCAGAAGAAGCACCGGCUAACUCCGUGCCAGCAGCCGCGGUAAUUC
rnacentral:rRNA from 1 species